UACAGAGGUCUCAAGCGUUGUUCGGAUUCAUUGGGCGUAAAGGGUGUGUAGGUGGCGCGCUAAGUCGGGUGUGAAAUUUCGGAGCUUAACUCCGAAACUGCAUUCGAUACUGGCGUGCUUGAGGACUGGAGAGGAGACUGGAAUUUACGGUGUAGCAGUGAAAUGCGUAGAGAUGUGGAGGAACACCAGUGGCGAAGGCGACUCUUUGGCCUGUAACUGACGCUGAGGCGCGAAAGCGUGGGGAGCAAACAGG
rnacentral:rRNA from 1 species